rnacentral:rRNA from 1 species
CGCGCAGGCGGCUCUGAAAGUCAGAUGUGAAAGCCCCGGGCUUAACCUGGGAACUGCAUUUGAUACUCUGGAGCUUGAGUGUGGGAGAGGAGAGUGGAAUUCCCAGUGUAGAGGUGAAAUUCGUAGAUAUUGGGAAGAACACCGGUGGCGAAGGCGGCUCUCUGGACCACAACUGACGCUGAGGCGCGAAAGCGUGGGGAGCAAACAGGAUUAGAUACCCUGGUAGUCCACGCCGUAAACGAUGUGCGCUAGACGUUGGGAAGCUUAGCUUCUCGGUGUCGCAGCUAACGCGAUAAGCGCACCGCCUGGGGAGUACGGCCGCAAGGUUAA